CGGGGAGGCGUCGAGCGGCGAACGAGUGAGUAACGCGUAGGAAUCUACCUGGUAGUGGGGGAUAGCCCGGGGAAACUCGGAUUAAUACCGCAUACGCCCCACGGGGGAAAGGCCGGGAUCUUCGGACCGGUCGCUAUUGGAUGAGCCUGCGUAAGAUUAGCUUGUUGGUGAGGUAAAGGCUCACCAAGGCGACGAUCAGUAGCUGGUCUGAGAGGAUGAUCAGCCACACUGGGACUGAGAUACGGCCCAGACUCC
rnacentral:rRNA from 1 species